rnacentral:rRNA from 1 species
GGAUGGCGAGUUUGAUCCUGGCUCAGGAUAAACGCUGGCGGCGUGCCUAACACAUGCAAGUCGAACGAGUUCCCCUCCUUCGGGAAGGGAGCGAGUGGCGGACGGGUGAGUAAGACGUGGGUCACCUACCUUUCAGUGAGGGAUACCGGCGAGAAAUCGCCGACAAUCCCGCAUACGCUUCGCGUUCUGGAACGAGCGCCAAGCAAAGCUCUGCAAAGGGCGCUGGGAGAUGGGCCCGCGGCCGAUUAGCUGGUUGGUGGGGUAAGAGCUCACCAAGGCGACGAUCGGUAGCUGGUCUGAGAGGACGAUCAGCCACACUGGGAUUGAGAACGGCCCAGACUCCUACGGGGGGCAGCAGUGAGGAAUUUUCGGCAAUGGGGGCAACCCUGACCGAGCAACGCCGCGUGCAGGAGGAAGGUCUUCGGAUCGUAAACUGCUUUUCUCUGGGACGAGCAAGGACGGUACCAGAGGAACAAGCCCCGGCUAACUACGUGCCAGCAGCCGCGGUAAUACGUAGGGGGCGAGCGUUGUCCGGAGUUACUGGGCGUAAAGCGCACGCAGGCGGUGCUGCGCGUUUGGGGUUACAGCUCCCGGCUCAACCGGGAGAGCGCCUCGAAGACGGCAGCACUUGAGGGCCAGAGAGGGACACGGAACUCCGGGUGGAGUGGUGAAAUGCGUAGAUAUCCGGAAGAACACCAAAGGCGAAGGCAGUGUCCUGGCUGGUACCUGACGCUCAGGUGCGAAAGCUAGGGGAGCGAACGGGAUUAGAUACCCCGGUAGUCCUAGCCGUAAACGAUGACCACUAGGUGUGCGGGGUAUCGACCCCCUGCGUGCCGCAGCCAACGCAAUAAGUGGUCCGCCUGGGGAGUACGGUCGCAAGAUUAAAACUCAAAGGAAUUGACGGGGACCCGCACAAGCAGCGGAGCGUGUGGUUUAAUUCGAAGCAACGCGAAGAACCUUACCAGGGUUUGACAUGCCGUCGCACCUCCUGGAGACAGGAGUCCCUUCGGGGCGGCGGCACAGGUGCUGCAUGGCUGUCGUCAGCUCGUGCCGUGAGGUGUUGGGUUAAGUCCCGCAACGAGCGCAACCCCUGUCGUCGGUUGGAUCUCUCCGACGAGACUGCCGCGAUCAACGUGGAGGAAGGUGGGGAUGACGUCAAGUCAGCACGGCCCUUACAUCCUGGGCGACACACACGCU